rnacentral:rRNA from 1 species
AUCGAUGAAGAACGCAGCGAAAUGCGAUAAGUAAUGUGAAUUGCAGAAUUCAGUGAAUCAUCGAAUCUUUGAACGCACCUUGCGCCCUCUGGUAUUCCGGAGGGCACGCCUGUUUGAGUGUCGUGAACUCCUCCACCCUUUCGCUUCGUUGCGGCCGGGCUGGGAAUUGGGGGCUUUUUGCGGGUCUUGACGAUCCGCUCCCCUUGAAUGCAUUAGCGAAGUUCCGAAAGGUCCUCGACGUGAUAAUUAUCUACGCCGUGGGUCGAUCGACCAUGGACCCAGCUUCCAACCGUCUUCGGACAACACACACACACGAUCUUGACCUCAGAUCAGGCGGGACUACCCGCUGAACUUAAGCAUAUCAAUAAGCGGAGGAAAAGAAACUAACAAGGAUUCCCCUAGUAACUGCGAGUGAAGCGGGAAGAGCUCAAAUUUAAAAUCUGGCGGCUUCGUCGUCCGAGUUGUAAUUUAGAGAAGCGUUUUCCGCGCCGGACCGUGUACAAGUCUCCUGGAACGGAGCGUCGUAGAGGGUGAGAAUCCCGUCUUUGACACGGACCGCCGGUGCUAUGUGAUACGCUCUCGAAGAGUCGAGUUGUUUGGGAAUGCAGCUCAAAACGGGUGGUGAACUCCAUCUAAAGCUAAAUAUUGGCGAGAGACCGAUAGCGAACAAGUACCGUGAGGGAAAGAUGAAAAGCACUUUGGAAAGAGAGUGAAACAGUACGUGAAAUUGCUGAAAGGGAAACGCUUGAAGUCAGUCGCGUCCUUCGGAGUUCAGCCUUUCUGGUGUACUCUCCGUCGGACGGGCCAGCAUCAUUUUCCGUCGCCGGAAAAGGAUUCGGGGAAUGUGGCACCUUCGGGUGUGUUAUAGCCCCGGGUCGUAUACGGCGGUGGGGAGUGAGGACCGCCUAUUAUUUUGUAGGAUGCUGGCGUAAUGGCUUUAAACGACCCGUCUUGAAACACGG